rnacentral:rRNA from 1 species
CCUACGGGAGGCUGCAGUGGGGAAUAUUGCACAAUGGGGGAAACCCUGAUGCAGCGACGCCGCGUGAGUGAAGAAGUAUUUCGGUAUGUAAAGCUCUAUCAGCAGGGAAGAAAAUGACGGUACCUGAUUCAGAAGCCCCGGCUAACUACGUGCCAGCAGCCGCGGUAAUACGUAGGGGGCAAGCGUUAUCCGGAUUUACUGGGUGUAAAGGGAGCGUAGACGGCAGCACAAGUCUGGAGUGAAAUGCCGGGGCUUAACCCCGGAACUGCUUUGGAAACUGUGCAGUUAGAGUGCAGGAGAGGUAAGUGGAAUUCCUAGUGUAGCGGUGAAAUGCGUAGAUAUUAGGAGGAACACCAGUGGCGAAGGCGGCUUACUGGACUGUAACUGACGUUGAGGCUCGAAAGCGUGGGGAGCAAACAGGAUUAGAUACCCCAGUAGU